AUUGAACGCUGGCGGCAUGCCUUACACAUGCAAGUCGAACGGCAGCACGGGUGCUUGCACCUGGUGGCGAGUGGCGAACGGGUGAGUAAUAUAUCGGAACGUACCUUAUUGUGGGGGAUAACGCAGCGAAAGCUGUGCUAAUACCGCAUAAUCCCUAAGGGGGAAAGCGGGGGACCGUAAGGCCUCGCGCAAUUAGAGCGGCCGAUACCCGAUUAGCUAGUUGGUGAGGUAAAGGCUCACCAAGGCAACGAUCAGUAGCUGGUCUGAGAGGACGAUCAGCCACACUGGGACUGAGACACGGCCCAGACUCCUACGGGAGGCAGCAGUGGGGAAUUUUGGACAAUGGGGGCAACCCUGAUCCAGCAAUGCCGCGUGAGUGAAGAAGGCCUUCGGGUUGUAAAGCUCUUUUGUCAGGGAAGAAACAGCAGCUCUAACACAGUUUGCGAAUGACGGUACCUGAAGAAUAAGCACCGGCUAACUACGUGCCAGCAGCCGCGGUAA
rnacentral:rRNA from 1 species